UAUUUGGACUGAGAACAUCACAGGACUGGGACCAGGAACAUCAAAAUGUAUGCAUGUACUUAAAGUUGUUCCAGCAAAGGAAACCCACUUUCAUUGAAGUGCUGGAGCAUGAUACUGGCAUAGCAAGAAACAGCAGCUGAGGCAGAGCAUGUCUGUGAAGCCAAGGAAUGUCCUUGACAGAGGAAGCAGUGCUUACCAGGCAUAAGUACCUCUGCUGAGGGCACAGCAAAGACCAGAGGAGCCUGUCAAUACAGCUAGAAAGAUAAUGAUGUGCCCUGUGGUGCUACAGAAAGGGUUAACCACUCUGUGUAAGAGAUCAAUGCCAAGUCGAAAGUGCGGUCAUUUCAGGCUGUGGAACAUGCUGGAUUUCAUCUUAUGGAGUAUCUUUCUUCUGGUAGAUAUUUUCAUCUGUUUCAUUUCAUUCUUCAAGUGGCUUAUGACACUGGUAUUAGUGGAGGCUAAAACCGGCAUCUGCCUAUCUCCAUGCAUCAGCCCAGGAGAGCAAUCCCUGUCCUUUCUGAAACUUGGGACGACCAGCAAGCAGUUGUGUGCCUGACCCUGGGCUCAUCAGCACGUGUGCUAGCAACAAGAUGAGAACAGCCUUGAUGCUCUUGACCAUGAUCUUCCAUAAUGGCUUAGUGAAAGUAUUCAAACUUUUAAGUUUGAAAAUUGCAUCAAUGUAAAGCAUUGGGCUAUGCCUAGAAGAAAACAAAAGAAACAGAGAAAGGAUGCUGGUGAGCUGCUUGGUCUGACAGCAGUGGAAAGGUGCCACAUUUUCGCUCAUCUGCCCCUGUGAGUGCUCAGUGGCAGAGGAGUCCUCUUUUUGACUUCAGUGGGAGCUGAAUUUGGCUGGAAGACAGAUCAAAGGCUGACACCCCGGGCAAGGUAACAGUGGUGAACGGUCUCACGCUUAAGUGAACAGCCAGAUCUCCCAUCUCUGUAUCCAGUAGGUCAUGGCAAGAAUAGGCUUUAAAUGGCACACAGAAAUACUUGUUAAUCCUGACAAGAGAAGCGCCAAUAUGGCCAUGGCCAUUAAGGUGGGAUUAAUGGGGUCGCUACGGUAGGAAACAUAUGAGGCCGUGUCUGAGUUUCUUGACACAUGAUGCCAACAAAACUUGUUUGGUCUUAUUUUUCUCUUACUAAACAGGACCGGCUAUGUUUAAAAGGGAGCAUUCAAACAUAUCUGGAAACAUUUUUUUAAGAAUGGGGGAUAUAAGUGAUUUUGUGGGCCUAGUGGAGACCACAGUCACAUAGAGAUAACUUUGAUUUUAUAUUGUGAUCAAGCUGAAACAACUUGGAGCUUUUGACCGUUCAGAGAAGUAACUUAGGAGAGAAGAGUGGAUAAGAGAAGUAAGGAUUGGAAACUGGUGAUUUUUAGAGCAACAAUGUAAAAUGUCAAAAACCUUUUAAGUGAGUCCUUAGCAUUUGGCCCUAAUUACUGAAUCUUUUCAAUGGGAUGGAGGAACUUUUGCUACAUGCCUUUCAUACAGCUACUCUGUAUGCUAUUCUGUAUUCUGCUUGCUGAUCAGAUAAAAAGCAGAUGGAAAACAAAAUGAACUUUAAGGAAGCAACAGCUAAAGCAGCAUGUUCUUUGUAUACAAAUUUGUUUAAUGAGGUUAUAUCUAUUAUGAGUUUAAUUGCAGCAAAUCUGAUCCUCGGCCAUUCCAAAAAAAUUAGUCACUACUAAUAAAAGAACAUAUGCAGUUUACAGUCUUAUUGAGCUUUUCUCCAGAGACACUUUUACAGAUUCUUUGUCAUCUGUUUAAUUAAAAGUUUACCAACCUAUUCUGAAAGCUGAUUCCAAAUUUCAUGUAGAUAUGUUGCUUUAAAACCACAAAACACAUUUUUGUAAAUUGAGCAUUUCAACCUCUCCUAAUAAGAAUACAGGAAUUUAACAUGUGUUCCAUGAGAUUUGCGAUGGAAAAUCAUAAUGAGUCAUGCUACAUCUUAAAAUCUAAUUUAUCUUAUUAUUUUUAUAUAAAUAGGGAGCAAUAAUCCUGGAGCUGUAUCAGAAAUAAAAUCAACAGCUAUUUCGCAAAUAAUUAGGUCCUUACCCAAAUGGAUUACAGUACUGAUUCAGAUAACUGAAUUGGGUAUAGGUGGCCCCAUGCGUGAUGUAUAUUAUGUGCAUAUGUCGGCAUAUGUCAUAAUCCAAUAUUUUUGUUGCAAAGAAGACAGCGAAGUCACAUUGAGAGUGGAAACUGUGAAAGCUAUUCCUGUAGGCUUAAAAAGAUGCUUUCCUCCCUCCCUCUCUCUAUUCGUCUCUCUCUUCUUCUCUCUCAUUUUCAAUGUGACUCAAACCCCAGAUCCUAGAAGUGUACUACGUAUUUUUUCACUUGGCUGCCUAUCAGUUGUGAUUUUUAUCUUAACUCUUUGCACAUUAACUUUUUCAGAAAUAACAAGUCAUGCAGGAUGAGAUAUUAAUCAUGAGUUUGGUUCCUACAUAAUGACAAGGAACUGCAGAAGCUCAUAUCCAGGGCCACAUCACAUCCCCAGCUCAGGGGAUUGGUAUGCCCUGACCUCAGAAAGAAGUUAAAUGCUUUCAAAGCUCUGAAAGUCACAGCUUCCGCAAUAGCUUUUUGACCUACACAAAACAAGCUGGUGGUUUUCAGGGUCACGUGGAUGGAUUUUGUGUACCCAUGAAGUUUGAAUCUCUCUCUUUGUGCCACGCGCAGAGGCAACAGCACAGAGGCCACUGCACCCAUUGCCAGCUCCUGUUGUUAGACAUGACUCAUUUUUCUAGCAAGGUGGAGCCAAAGAGAGUAAACCUUAAGGGAGGGAGAUCUCAUGUUGUAGGAGCUAGGAAGAAAGGAAUAUAUCACCAUUGGAAAGUGGAAGUUCAGAACAAAGCUAUAUGGAAACUUGUGCAAAUGCUGCAGCUCCAUUUUUAAGUAAGAGAGCUUCAGAAGAACAUCAUACUAUGGUUUCAUACAUUUUACAGGCUUCUAAAAAUAGUUAUAUUCCUGAUAUUUUGAACAGUUUAUAAAAAUACUUCCUUAGAUCCUCUUUACCCAUUUUAGAUCUCUACCUUGACAGGGAAUGUUGCAAAUGAAGGAUUCCAGGAUGAGAUGAUUGCGGGUGAGAGAGACAGCCUUACAUAGAGUUUAUGUGUCUGCAGAUACAAAACACAUCUUUAUCUCUCUCUCGAUUCUCUGUAGUCAUGGCAAGAAAAAAUCAGAUACAGAAAAGGAAAAUCGGAAGAAAGGGAAAUAAAAGGGAGAAAACAGACAAAAUAUGGUUGAUAGAAGGAAUUGGAAAAUAUUAGAAGCUUUUGUGUAUUCUAUUAUUUGUUCAUUUUUGUGGCUUAAAGAUACAAUAGUGAAAAGCGUCAUAGACUAGGUUCAGUAGAAAAAGAGAGAUGAAAAGACUUCACAAAGGUGAGCAGCUGUAUGGAAGGUGACCACAGCCUUAGCUACUGAGCAUAAGAUCCUUUCAUAAAAAUGUAUAACACUGGAAAAUUAGCCAGCAGAAAAGCAAACAAUUUCCUAAUCACCAAUUUCCCUACCACUCCCUAAUAUGUCAGAUAAAUAAGUUCUUACAUAUCCUGUCUCAUAACAUGAAUAAUUUAUCUUUUAAAUUCCCAAAACAUUGGUUCUAAAAAUUGCUCAUUUUAUUAAAAAAAAAAAGCACAAUCCAGCAACGGCACACUUCUCGAGUACUAAGAGUACUUUAGAAUAAUCUUGUCGUUUCAGAAUGCUUUCUUUAGGAAUGAACAUGGUAUAUUGACACAGGUAAUCCAUCUAAUGAAGUAGUAGAGGAAUACUACUUAGAUUUCUGUAUAGUGAAUUCCAGUCUUUCCCUCUGUGCAAUUUUAUUGCUGCAUUUUUAUGAUACAGACAAAGCUAUACAGCCAGGACAGUCAUUCAGAAAAUACAAUAUUGAUUAUAUUGAUACUGUCUACUUAAUCUCCAGAACUUUGCAUAAUAGCAUAGUCUUCCCAAUGUAUUUCUUUUUAAGAACAGACAAAAUUUUUUAGACAGUUCCUUGUAAUUUUUAACAUUUGUGUUUAUUUGAAUCAGUACAGAAAGGUAACCAGCAAUGCAAAAAAAAGUAUCAUUUAUAUCUUCCUGUAUUUAAAUAUAUUAUCCAUACUGAAAUUAGACAUUUAUUAAGAGCAAGAUAUUUAUUUCAUACUCAGGGUUUUUGAAGUCUGCAAAAUCAGCAGUAUGGAAAUUAGUAAUUUUUGCUCAUCUUACAUUGUUUAAUAGGUUAAACUGAGCAUAAACUCAAUGGCAGCAUUGUGAUUCACAUCUAAACUGGGCUUUGUUUCUGUUAUGGUAUACUCUUCUACUCCUUAAGGGCUUCUCUGGUUCCCACUGAAGUCAAAGAGAGUAUUUCCCUUGACACAGGAUUACCUUAUGAGAUUCUAUACAUGUAUUAUUUGUAAUAGCUGUUAUAGCUGCACGUGCCACAGCCGAUGUAGCUUGGAUAUGCUAUAUAGUGUAUUUUUAGGGACUUUAAAAUCUCUAGAGGCAAAGUCUU